CAGGACAUAACUUAAACUAAAGUAUUUUGCUUACACCAAAAACAUAUCCAUUAAAUAGGAUUGCCCUGA
rnacentral:tRNA from 1 species